rnacentral:rRNA from 1 species
AAUUCGCCCUUAGAGUUUGAUCCUGGCUCAGGACGAACGCUGGCGGCGCGCCUAACACAUGCAAGUCGAACGAGCGAGAGGAGGUUUACUUUCUCAAGCGAGUGGCGAACGGGUGAGUAACGCGUGAGGAACCUGCCUCAAAGAGGGGGACAACAGUUGGAAACGACUGCUAAUACCGCAUAAGCCCACGACCCGGCAUCGGGUAGAGGGAAAAGGAGCAAUCCGCUUUGAGAUGGCCUCGCGUCCGAUUAGCUAGUUGGUGAGGUAAUGGCCCACCAAGGCGACGAUCGGUAGCCGGACUGAGAGGUUGAACGGCCACAUUGGGACUGAGACACGGCCCAGACUCCUACGGGAGGCAGCAGUGGGGAAUAUUGCACAAUGGGCGAAAGCCUGAUGCAGCGACGCCGCGUGAACGAUGAAGUAUUUCGGUAUGUAAAGUUCUAUCAGCAGGGAAGAAAAAAUGACGGUACCUGUCUAAGAAGCACCGGCUAAAUACGUGCCAGCAGCCGCGGUAAUACGUAUGGUGCAAGCGUUAUCCGGAUUUACUGGGUGUAAAGGGAGCGUAGGCGGUUUUAUAAGUCUGAUGUGAAAGCCCGGGGCUCAACCCCGGGACUGCAUUGGAAACUGUAGAACUAGAGUGUCGGAGGGGUAAGUGGAAUUCCUAGUGUAGCGGUGAAAUGCGUAGAUAUUAGGAGGAACACCAGUGGCGAAGGCGGCUUACUGGACGAUUACUGACGCUGAGGCUCGAAAGCGUGGGGAGCAAACAGAAGUAGAUACCCUGGUAGUCCACGCCGUAAACG